AUUGAACGCUGGCGGCAUGCUUUACACAUGCAAGUCGAACGGUAACAGGAAGCAGCUUGCUGUUUCGCUGACGAGUGGCGGACGGGUGAGUAAUGUCUGGGAAACUGCCUGAUGGAGGGGGAUAACUACUGGAAACGGUAGCUAAUACCGCAUAACGUCGCAAGACCAAAGAGGGGGACCUCCGGGCCUCUUGCCAUCGGAUGUGCCCAGAUGGGAUUAGCUAGUAGGUGGGGUAACGGCUCACCUAGGCGACGAACCCUAGCUGGUCUGAGAGGAUGACCAGCCACACUGGAACGGAGACACGGUCCAGACUCCUACGGGAGGCAGCAGUGGGGAAUAUUGCACAAUGGGCGCAAGCCUGAUGCAGCCAUGCCGCGUGUAUGAAGAAGGCCUUCGGGUUGUAAAGUACUUUCAGCGGGGAGGAAGGGAGUAAAGUUAAUACCUUUGCUCAUUGACGUUACCCGCAGAAGAAGCACCGGCUAACUCCGUGCCAGCCGCCGCCGUAA
rnacentral:rRNA from 1 species